GGAAGUCAGGGCCGCGGCGCUUCUGGUCCCGGAGACUUGGGGCUCCCGGGCUUCUGAGCGGCUCGGGUUCCGCGCUGCCGGCAGGGCUUGGGGGCGCCUUAGAGCCGAACCCCGUUUUUUCAGGAAAGGGCGCUGCGACCACCCCCGUCCCGGGCCUCAGCCCCUCUGCUGCAGACCCUCGGGAUCGUCGCUGGCAAAUAGAUACAAGAAAUCUGAUCCUGUCCUCUCAAAGAAAACCCUCUGAAAUAAACUUAUCACCUUUAAAAAAGGGAUGUUGAAGAACAAGAUGGAUUUUUGUUGUUGUUGUCGUUUUUUGAGAUGGAGUCUCGCUCUUGUCGUCCAGGCCGGAAUGCGGUGGUGCGAUCUCGGCUCACUGCAACCUCCGCCUCCCAGGUUUAAGCGAUUCCCCUACCUCAGCCUCAUGAGUAGCUAGGAUUAUAGGCACCUGCCACCACGCCCGGCUAAUUUUUGUAUUUUUAGUAGAGACUGGGUUUCGCCAUGUUGGCCAGGCUGGUCUCAAUCUCCUGACCUCAGGUGAUCUGCCCGCCUCGGCCUCCCAAAGUGCUGGGAUUACAGACGUGAGCACCCAGCCUGGAUGUUGUUUUUGAUGACACUGCUAAGCACUUAUGUGAGGGAUUGUUUGGGUGGUUUGGGUCUAGAUCUAAGAUAAAGACAGUAGGAAAGAAAUGAGAGGUGGAAGGUUGUCCUAGGCUGAGGUGGUGGUCCAGGGACUUUCUGGCAGCCUGGAUGGAUGCCUGGGCAGAAUUUAUAUAUCUAGAAGAAUGGAAGAGGACCUCAUUGCAUGCCAUUGACUGUUCUCCAGUACCCAAGGGUAAAGGAACUGGAAAGAAAGACUCACUCAAGUGCAUUCACAUAAAAUGGGAAUCUAAUAGUAAUGGUGCCAAUUGUGGGGCAAAGAGUUCAAGGAGUUAUUUUGAAAAAUGAAAAAAAAAGCAAAGUAUCUUAAAUUUGUCUUAUAUUCAAUAAAUUGUCGGUGAUAAUGCUAUGGUGUGUGCAUUUGUAGAACCAACAAAGACUUAGUCAAGUGCCGAUUUGGUAGGAUUGUAAUUUUUCCGACAAAUUGUAUGAUCGCUACACACGUUAUCCUUCCCAUUGUGUGUGAUUUUCCCAGCUCCAGGAUGAAGAGGAUUGGUUUUACAAAAAUGGGCAAGGACACCAUCAAUUUCCCCACAAGUCUCUCUCUCUCUCUUUUUUUUUUUUUUUUUUUUAGACAGAAUUUCACUGUGUCGCUAGGCUGGAGUGCAGUGGCAAGAUCUUGGCUCACUGCAAUCUCCACCCUCCAGGUUCAAGCGAUUCUCCUGCCUCAGCCUCCUGAGUAGCUGGGAUUACAGGCACCCACCACCACGCCUGGCUAAUUUUUGCAUUUUUAGUAGCGACGAGGUUUCACCAUGUUGGCCAGGCUGGUCUUGAUCUCUUGACCUUGCGACCCGCCCGCCUUGGCCUCCCAAACUGCUGGGAUUACAGGCGUGAGCCACCGCACCUGGCCACGUCUCUCUUCAUCGUUUAAUAGUCUCACCCUUUCUUGUUGAAGGACCAUCCGGCCAUUAGCCAUGGGCGUGGCCUCACUCUCAGCCGCCUGACUGUGUAGCUUUGCCAGGGCCUCCCACACUGACCCACUGCUUUGGUCUCCAUCUGAGCAUCCCUGGCAUCCCAUUUGUG
rnacentral:lncRNA from 1 species